UACAGAGGGUGCGAGCGUUAAUCGGAAUUACUGGGCGUAAAGCGUGCGUAGACGGUUACGUAAGUCGGGUGUGAAAGCCCCGGGCUCAACCUGGGAAGUGCACCCGAAACUGGCGAGCUUGAGUACGAAAGAGGAUCGCGGAAUUCCCGGUGUAGAGGUGAAAUUCGUAGAUAUCGGGAGGAACACCGGUGGCGAAGGCGGCGAGUCGUGGGUCGAUACGUGACGCUGAGG
rnacentral:rRNA from 1 species